rnacentral:lncRNA from 1 species
CUGUGCGUCUGACAGCGCAGGUCCAGCAGCGUGGGCCCCAGGAAGGCGAUGCACAGGCCGAAGCUGAAGAAGACGCUCCAGUAGGUCUUCUGGUAAUGACAGGAGCCAUGACAUCAUUUCCACUGGCCCACCAGGGGGACCAGGGCUGAAAAGACUGAGGAGUUGGUUGAAUUUACAAAUGCAGAACCCACAGAGACAGGGGGCCAACUGUGCAGCAGUGAGGGUCUGGCUCUGUAACCCAGGCUUGAAUGCAGUGGCAUGAUGGGUGCAAUCUUGUUACCUGUUACUGGUCUCUUCAGGUUUUCUUUUUGGCUCAAUCUUGAGAUGGAGGCUCGUUUUGUUGCCCAGGCUGGAGUGCAGUG